rnacentral:piRNA from 1 species
UGCACGACAACCUCAUCAACCUGGACAC